rnacentral:rRNA from 1 species
AGUGAACGCUGGCGGUAGGCCUAACACAUGCAAGUCGAACGGCAGCACAGUAAGCGCUUGCUCUUACGGGUGGCGAGUGGCGGACGGGUGACGAAUACAUCGGAAUCUACUUUUUCGUGGGGGAUAACGUAGGGACACUUACGCUAAUACCGCAUACGACCUACGGGUGAAAGCAGGGGAUCUUCGGACCUUGCGCGAUUGAAUGAGCCGAUGUCGGAUUAGCUAGUUGGCGGGGUAAAGGCCCACCAAGGCGACGAUCCGUAGCUGGUCUGAGAGGAUGAUCAGCCACACUGGAACUGAGACACGGUCCAGACUCCUACGGGAGGCAGCAGUGGGGAAUAUUGGGCAAUGGGCGAAAGCCUGAUCCAGCCAUACCGCGUGAGUGAAGAAGGCCUUCGGGUUGUAAAGCCCUUUUGUUGGGAAAGAAAAGCAGCGGGUUAAUACCCCGCUGUUCUGACGGUACCCAAAGAAUAAGCACCGGCUAACUUCGUG